rnacentral:rRNA from 1 species
UGACGACCUCAGAUCAGGUGAGAC